rnacentral:rRNA from 1 species
GAUGAACGCUGGCGGCGUGCCUAACACAUGCAAGUCGAGCGGCAGCGAGGGGUGCUUGCACCCUGUCGGCGAGCGGCGGACGGCUGAGUAACGCGUGGGAACGUGCCCCAAAGUGAGGAAUAACUGCCCGAAAGGGUAGCUAAUACCGCAUAUUAUCUUCGGAUCAAAGGAUUUAUCCGCUUUGGGAGCGGCUCGCGUCGGAUUAGGUAGUUGGUGAGGUAAUGGCUCACCAAGCCGACGAUCCGUAGCUGGUCUGAGAGGAUGACCAGCCAGACUGGAACUGAGACACGGUCCAGACUCCUACGGGAGGCAGCAGUGAGGAAUCUUCCACAAUGGGCGAAAGCCUGAUGGAGCAACGCCGCGUGCAGGACGAAGGCCUUCGGGUUGUAAACUGCUUUUAUAAGUGAGGAAUAUGACGGUAACUUAUGAAUAAGAAUCGGCUAACUACGUG